GCGGGCGUGGUGGAAUUGGUAGACACGCUAGACUUAGGAUCUAGUGCCGCAAGGUGUGAAGGUUCGAGUCCUUUCGCCCGCA
rnacentral:tRNA from 6 species